AAUACUUGCCGGCGACCGGCGCAAGGGUGCGUAACGCGUGAGCAACAUGCCCGUAUCAGGGGGAUAAUCCAGGGAAACUUGGUCUAAUACCCCAUAGUAAUCUUAGGAGGCAUCUUUUANNNNNUAAAGCUUUGGUGGAUACGGAUUGGCUCGCGUGACAUUAGCUAGAUGGUAGGGUAACGGCCUACCAUGGCUACGAUGUCUAGGGGUUCUGAGAGGAAAAUCCCCCACACUGGAACUGAGACACGGUCCAGACUCCUACGGGAGGCAGCAGUGAGGAAUAUUGGACAAUGGAUGGAAAUCUGAUCCAGCCAUGCCGCGUGCAGGAUGACGGCCCUAUGGGUUGUAAACUGCUUUUGUAUGGGAGCAAUAAGCCCUUCGUGAAGGGUGAUGAGAGUACCAUACGAAUAAGCAUCGGCUAACUCCGUGCCAGCAGCCGCGGUAAUACGGAGGAUGCAAGCGUUAUCCGGAUUUAUUGGGUUUAAAGGGUGCGUAGGCGGUUGGAUAAGUCAGCGGUGAAAGUUUUCUGCUUAACAGGAAAAAUGCCGUUGAUACUGUCUGGCUAGAAUAUGGUUGCUGUGAGUGGAAUGUGUGGUGUAGCGGUGAAAUGCUUAGAUAUCACACAGAAUAUCGAUUGCGAAGGCAGCUCACAAAGCCAUUAUUGACGCUGAGGCACGAAAGUGUGGGGAUCAAACAGGAUUAGAUACCCUGGUAGUCCACACUGUAAACGAUGAUAACUCGCUGUCGGCGAUACACAGUCGGUGGCCAAGCGAAAGCGAUAAGUUAUCCACCUGGGGAGUACGACCGCAAGGUUGAAACUCAAAGGAAUUGACGGGGGCCCGCACAAGCGGAGGAACAUGUGGUUUAAUUCGAUGAUACGCGAGGAACCUUACCCGGGCU
rnacentral:rRNA from 1 species